rnacentral:rRNA from 1 species
GAUGAACGCUGGCGGCGUGCUUAACACAUGCAAGUCGAACGAGAAGUGGAGACGGAAACCUUCGGGCGGAAGACUUUAUUUCGAGUGGCGGACGGGUGAGUAACGCGUGGGUAACCUGCCUCAUACAGGGGGAUAACAGUUGGAAACGACUGUUAAUACCGCAUAAGACCACAGCACCGCAUGGUGCGGGGGUAAAAACUCCGGUGGUAUGAGAUGGACCCGCGUUCGAUUAGCCAGUUGGCGGGGUAACGGCCCACCAAAGCGACGAUCGAUAGCCGAUCUGAGAGGAUGACCGGCCACAUUGAGACUGAGACACGGCCCAAACUCCUACGGGAGGCAGCAGUGGGGAAUAUUGCACAAUGGGGGAAACCCUGAUGCAGCGACGCAGCGUGAGUGAAGAAGUAUUUCGGUAUGUAAAGCUCUAUCAGCAGGGAAGAAAAUGACGGUACCUGAGUAAGAAGCCCCGGCUAACUACGUG